AUUGAACGCUGGCGGCAGGCCUAACACAUGCAAGUCGAACGAGUGGCGGACGGGUGAGUAAUGUCUGGGAAACUGCCCGAUGGAGGGGGAUAACUACUGGAAACGGUAGCUAAUACCGCAUACCAUCGGAUGUGCCCAGAUGGGAUUAGCUAGUAGGUGGGGUAACGGCUCACCUAGGCGACGAUCCCUAGCUGGUCUGAGAGGAUGACCACCCACACGGGAACUGGGACACGGUCCGGACUCCUGCGUGAGGCAUCAGUGGGGAAUAUUGCACACUGGGCGCAAGCCUGAUGCAGCCAGGCCGCGUGUAUGAAGAAGGCCAUCGGUUUGUAAAGUACUUUCAGCGGGGAGGCGUUACCCGCAGAAGAAGCACCGGCUAACUCCGUGCCAGCAGCCGCGGUAAUAC
rnacentral:rRNA from 1 species